CAAACAUAAAUAAAUACAUAGUACCUAUAGACCAGCUUUCAGAAUCAGUCUUAUCACAUCUUGACAGGUCUGGAAGGACACGGGAGAGAAUUCAAAUUAAUCUCAAAAUGGAAAUUAAUAUGUCAAAAUAUAAAAUAUACUAACUGAAAACUAUGCAUAUUAAGUAAUUAAAUGAGACAUAGUAACCAAAAAGUAAGCAUAUUAAGUUAAAUAGUUGAAAGUACUCACCAAAGAACUGACCACAAAUAAAGUUACAAACAGAAAAUGAGAAGAAAGAACUGAGUAAAAAAUAACUGAUAGCUAUUUAAGAAAAGCAGGGAAAGGAAGAGAUAGGUUAAUUAUUUAUACAAUUUAAUCUAAUAUCAAUGUAGCAGCUUUAUAGCAGCAACCUGUAUUUUGGGUUCAAACUUCAGGCUUUCGUUUUUUUUUUUACUCUGAUAGGCAUAGACUUCUGUAUUUAAGAUAUAAAGAAUUCUAUUCCAUUGCCAGGAAAUCCAUGACUCCUGCCAAUAUUUUUCUAAGACGAACCUUCUAGAAAAAUAAAAUCAAGCAAUUCUGUACCUUUUUUGCUAUACGACUAUAUUUGACUGUUAAAACUUCUCAGGGACAAGAUAACAUCACAGAUGAGGUUUGAGCAAAGAUGCUAUUAUACAGGGUAGUGCUGUGUGCUAGAGUGGUUUUUGAAAAUGAUGGCGUGAUUGGCUUUAGCCCUAUAAAACUUGAAAAAAAUCUGUAUUUGACAUGUGGAAAUGAACCCCCCCCCAAAAAAAAAAUGUAAAAAGCUGAAUAUCCAAUCAAAUAGGAUAAUCAAUAUGAAAAUAUUUUAAUGACUAGUAAAAUUCUCUGACCAAAUGACUCUUUCAAAUUAAUCAGUACACUGAGAUCCCUAACAGCAUGACAGCUAGGAAAUGAACAUGGAUAAAACAUUCAUAGAAUAGGUAAACACAAAUAAAUAACCAAUAAAUGUUGGGAAGGAUGCCCUACCUAUACAAAAAAAAAAAAAAAUCCCAUGCAUAAAAAUAUACGCAAUUACAAGAUCUAUCCUGUUUCAUGUUUUGCCCAGGAAAUUAGCUGAAAAGUAACAAUGCCCUACUACUAAACUGUAGCAAAAGUACCUUGAAACAGGCUUACUUUUAUGCUAAUAACAUACAUUGACACACUUUUCUGGGAAGAAAGUUGAAGAUAUGUGUCAACUGGUUUAUAAAAUUGUAUGUCAUUAAUCCAGUGUUUCUAUUCACAGGUAUCGCUUCUACAGAAAUAAACAGAGGUCUGGACAAGGAUUUUCUACAAUGAUCUCAUAAAGCGUGAGGAGAUGUAACCUCAGGUGCUGGAGGAAGGAGUCAGUAUAUACCUCAGAGUGGCCCUUUCAUCCUGAUCACACAGCAUGGGACGUUAACACAGAUCUGUGCUCUUCUUCAGCAGCUGGACCCAGGGUAACUUCUAAGAAAUGCUGACCUCUGGACCAACUUUAUGCAGAGAUGAAAGAAAUGUGUAUGUGUUUUAAAAGCAGUGAUUAAAGAUUUGUCAGACUUUC